AUGGAAGAGGUUCCCGCUGUGAAGGAGAAAGAAAGCUAUGAUGUCGUUUUCAACGGAGGAGGAAUUGGCUCACUUCACACAACAGUUUCUGUGACAUUUUCCCAGAAGACGAUACAUUCUCCAGAGGCAAACACCGCGCUCCAAGGGUUUUACAAGAUGCUGCAAGCCCCAUUCUCUCCCCACCUCCCCGAGAAGCCCAUCCUGCAUGGCCACCACGUUACGAAGAGGCAUCCCGAUAUAAAAAACACAGCUGCAAACUCUACAGACAAUUUACAGGUCUCCGAGAUCGCAUUUACGCAGAGGUCCUGCAGCAGGGAGGUUCUGAAUGUCGGACCCGGUUGGUGGAAUGUCAUUAAUCAGAGGAUAAUGGACAGGAAGGUGGGUGGCUGCUGA
rnacentral:lncRNA from 1 species